UCACUGGAUGGAGUACAUUUUUGUUGAUCUUACCUCGCAGUCUGUCAGAUACCGGUCAUGAUGAAUACCACAAGGUUUCAAAUAAUUCGUGGAAGCACUAGAAUGGCAGGUUAUGAGAAAAUUCUUCAACUGAUCGCUGUCUCUAUCAGAAAGUGGCUUGCAAGAUUCCGUCUACCAAUUCCAAUCACAAGGCUUUGGUCGUCCCGAUGCUUUAGUAGAAGACACUUGCCCAUGGAGCCACGCAGGAGAACU